rnacentral:rRNA from 1 species
UGCAAGUCGAACGAAGCACUUAUCUUUGAUUCUUCGGAUGAAGAGGUUUGUGACUGAGUGGCGGACGGGUGAGUAACGCGUGGGUAACCUGCCUCAUACAGGGGAAUAACAGUUAGAAAUGACUGCUAAUACCGCAUAAGACCACGGAGCCGCAUGGCUCCGUGGGAAAAACUCCGGUGGUAUGAGAUGGACCCGCGUCUGAUUAGGUAGUUGGUGGGGUAACGGCCUACCAAGCCAACGAUCAGUAGCCGACCUGAGAGGGUGACCGGCCACAUUGGGACUGAGACACGGCCCAAACUCCUACGGGAGGCAGCAGUGGGGAAUAUUGCACAAUGGGGGAAACCCUGAUGCAGCGACGCCGCGUGAGCGAAGAAGUAUUUCGGUAUGUAAAGCUCUAUCAGCAGGGAAGAAAAUGACGGUACCUGACUAAGAAGCACCGGCUAAAUACGUGCCAGCAGCCGCGGUAAUACGUAUGGUGCAAGCGUUAUCCGGAUUUACUGGGUGUAAAGGGAGCGUAGACGGCUGUGUAGGUCUGAAGUGAAAGCCCGGGGCUCAACCCCGGGACUGCUUUGGAAACUAUGCAGCUAGAGUGUCGGAGAGGUAAGUGGAAUUCCCAGUGUAGCGGUGAAAUGCGUAGAUAUUGGGAGGAACACCAGUGGCGAAGGCGGCUUACUGGACGAUGACUGACGUUGAGGCUCGAAAGCGUGGG